ACUUAAAUAGCUUAAUUGAAAGAGCAUGACGUUGAAGGUGUUAAGGUGGUAGUAUUAUCUUUAAGUG